rnacentral:rRNA from 1 species
UACAGAGGUCUCAAGCGUUGUUCGGAUUCAUUGGGCGUAAAGGGUGCGUAGGUGGCGCCGUAAGUCGGGUGUGAAAUUUCGGAGCUUAACUCCGAAACUGCAUUCGAUACUGCGGUGCUUGAGGACUGGAGAGGAGACUGGAAUUCAUGGUGUAGCAGUGAAAUGCGUAGAUAUCAGGAGGAACACCCGUGGUGUAGACGGCUUGCUGGACAGUCACUGACGCUGAGGCACGAAAGCGUGGGGAGCAAACAGG